CAUCGAGACCCGGAUUCCGUAGGUGGGAGCUUCGCCGCAUGCCGGGAGAGUGGACCUACUUAGGCUUCCCGCGAAAGAGGCCUUCCUACGCUGCCUGGAAGACACCGCCCUCCCGCCUGCGCGAGGGUCAUCCUGGGGACCCCAACUUUUGAGCUAAAAUCCGUGUUGCCCAACCUCCGGAAGCGAAGUCAGCUGCACGCGGAGCCUCUGAACCGGGCGACAGGGUCCCACUGUGUAUACCAGGAAAGCUUUGAAUUCACUGUGUAACCCAGGCUGGCCCAGAAUUUGCAGUGAUUCUGCUACCUCAGCCUCCUGAGUGCUGGGAUAACAGACAUGUGCCUGACUUGCCUGACUUAUUUUUUGAUACAAGAUCUGGGCUAGAAUUUGAGAGCCUCCUCCCUCAGUUUCCAGAGUAGCUGAGAUUACAGGUCUCCAUAGCAACGCAAAGAGUGUGUGGAAGAGGAGGGGACCUGAUGUGCAUGUCUUCGUGACACACCCUGCCUAGGGCUUCUCAAGGUCAGAUGCACAAGACGCUGCACAGCUUGCCAAUGAAGGAGUGAACAACCGCACAGGCCAGGAAGAUUGGAGAACAGAGAGAACCAGGCACAGCAGGACACGCAGGGCCCCUGUGGCAGGGCCCCAGCAGAAUGGGAAACCUCCUGUUUUACAUUUUCCUUUUUGUGAUUUCUCUCCUGGUUUUUUGGUUUGUUUGGUUUGUGUCCUUGGAGACAAUACCAUGAUUUAAAAAGAUCUGACCAGGCAUGAUAGUACAUCCCUGCACUCCCAGAACUCGAGAAGCUGAGGCAGGAGGAUCAUCAUGAGUUGGAGGCCAGCCUGGACUGUGUGAUGAGUUCACAUUGUGCCCAAACUACAUAAUGAGUCCCUGCCUGAAGUAACCAAAAAAUAAAUCGUAAACUGAAAAUCCUAGUAGUCUUAAAAUCCCGACCUAUUCAUCCCCAUCCAUAUUAAAGUGGUCUCUUCAAUUUUGUUCCCUGUAACUACUGAUGACUUCUCUUAUAGACUCUCAAGUCUACCUGUUGUGUUAUAAGAGUAUUAUACAUCAACAGUGUUGUUAUGACUUUAUAUAAAAGCCAAUUAUUAAGUCCC